rnacentral:rRNA from 1 species
UACGUAGGGGGCAAGCGUUGUCCGGAAUCAUUGGGCGUAAAGCGCGCGUAGGCGGCCCGGUAAAUCCGCUGUGAAAGUCGGGGGCUCAACCCUCGGAUGCCGGUGGAUACUGUCGGGCUUGAGUGCGGAAGAGGCGAGUGGAAUUCCUGGUGUAGCGGUGAAAUGCGCAGAUAUCAGGAGGAACACCAAUUGCGAAGGCAGCUCGCUGGGACGUUACUGACGCUGAUGCGCGAAAGCGUGGGGAGCAAACAGG